rnacentral:tRNA from 1 species
GCGGAUAUGGUCAAAUG